rnacentral:rRNA from 1 species
GACAGAGGGGGCAAGCGUUGCUCGGAAUUAUUGGGCGUAAAGGGCGCGUAGGCGGCUUUGCAAGUGACGGGUGAAAGCCCUCGGCUUAACCGAGGAACUGCCUGUCAGACUGUGAGGCUUGAGACCGGGAGAGGUGAGUGGAAUUCCCAGUGUAGCGGUGAAAUGCGUAGAUAUUGGGAGGAACACCAGUGGCGAAGGCGGCUCACUGGACCGGAACUGACGCUGAGGCGCGAAAGCGUGGGGAGCAAACAGG